rnacentral:tRNA from 1 species
GGAGAUGUAGCUCAGUGGUAGAGCAUAUGCUUAGCAUAUACAAUGCCCUGGAUUCCUUCUCCA